GUCACUCUGGCUGUGACAUCUGUUACCCCAUUGAUUACCUGGGUUGGUUGGGCUGAUCUGGCUGGCUAGGCGGGUAUCCCCUUCAUGUGCAUCUUUCCUGUGCUCAGUCAAAGAGGAUGACCUCCCUCAUAGAGGGAGGACCAUUCUUUGGUCAAGGGUAUACCAGCAGCUGCAUUCCCCUGCUAGACUUUCCAAGCAAGCUUCCAAAGAUGCAAAUUCAACCGUCUCUUUGACUGACUGUUAAAACACAUGGGCCUGUUUCUAAUCUGCAAUAUUCAAUAGAGAUACAUCCUGAUGUGCCAAUCUUCAAUU
rnacentral:snRNA from 10 species